rnacentral:rRNA from 1 species
CUUUUUGAAUUUAAUUUAAAGUCUAACCUGCCCACUGAAUUUUAAAUGGCCGCAGUACACUAACUGUGCAAAGGUAGCAUAAUAAUUAGUCUUUUAAUUGAAGGCUGGAAUGAAUGGUUGGACGAAGUAUAAUCUGUUUCAUUUUAAUUUAUUUUAGAAUUUUAUUUUUUAGUCAAAAAGCUAAAAUUUUAUUAAAAGACGAGAAGACCCUAUAAAGCUUUAUAUUUUUACAAAAGUAAAGAAAAAGAUGAAUUUUGUUAUUUUUGGAGGAGGUAUUUUAUUGGGGUGAUAUUGAAAUUUAAAAAACUUUCAAUUUUUAUAAACAUUGAUUUCUGAAUAAUUGAUCCGUUUUUAACGAUUAUAAAUUUAAGUUACUUUAGGGAUAACAGCGUAAUUAUUUUGGAGAGUUCAUAUCGAUAAAAUAGAUUGCGACCUCGAUGUUGGAUUAAGGAAUAUAUUUAGGCGUAGCCGUUUAAAUAAUAAGUCUGUUCGACUUU